AUGUCGCUGAGCGGCGAACGGGCUGAAGUUAUGGAGCUGUGGAAGAGUCACGUGCGGGCCGAGCUGUUUCAGAGGGACUGCUUACAGAAAGACCCUUUCUCUGGACUCUUCACUAAAGUGUCCAAAUUAGAGGAACUGCUGAAUCUCCAUUUGAGUUUAUGGGAGGACUUGGAGAGACAAAGCUUCAGUUCAAAUGACGAUGGAAUAAAAAGGCCCGUUGAGGGAAAAAAGACCCCAAAGCUGUAUCUGCAGUUCAGACAGACUGAACAUAUUAGACAAAAGCUUGCACAGAAAGUCUCAGAUCUGACCAGUGAUCUGUACCUCAGGGAGGCGGAGCUGCAGUUCUGUCACUCUCAAGUUGCCCGCUACCGUACCGAAGCCGUUCUGCUGGCCAAAGAAGCAUGCUCACUGAAGGAAGACCUGUCAGAUUAUCAGUAUAAACUGGAGUGUCAGUCAAAGGAGUUGGCAGCAUUGCGAUUGGAGCAGAAGAUGCUGAAGGAGGAGCUAGCAGCCACACAGCAAGAAAAAGAGGGGCUGCUUGAGCGCUGGUUGGAGGAGAAGAAAGAGGAGGCAGAGCGCCUUAAUAAGCACAAUGCCACUCAAGAGAGAUGGAAUCGCUUUGCUGGGCAAAUGAACAAGCAUCUCUUCGGAGGGUCUCAUCGUCAGAGGCGUGUCGCUUCCAACAGCCCACAAGUCUUCCAGAGAUAUUCAACUGAACAGUCACUGCCAAAGAAGAAUAAAUGA
ensembl:lncRNA